GCAAGAAGAGGAGAAAAAGGCACAAAUUCUUUCUCUCUCUAGAAAAAUAUUUUGUCUCUAGGAAAAUCUUCUCUCUGAUCACAGGAACCAGAGGUAAAUUUUGGUUCACGCAAUGGAAACCCUUUGCGGCCACAGGAACCAAAGGUGGCUCCUUAUGAACGUCCAGCACUUAGCAAGGGCUGUCUUUUUCCCUUAUGAACGUCCAGCACUUAGCAAGGGCUGUCUUUUUCCUGAAGUGAGAACUUAAUAAAGGCGUAUAAAGCAACCAAGUCUAGACAGUCAUGACAAGGUUCGGCCACUUUCACAUUUCCAAGGUUGGGGGAGUAUAACUUUUCUUUAUAUUCUUAAAGAGCCCUUUGCCAGCUUGUGCUUCACCAUACACAAAGUCUGUUCGUUAAAAUGGGGCGACCCUGUGAGGUAGUAUACUAACAUGUUCUAAGUCCAUAAAGGUUGGAAUUCAUGUGAUUGGAGGUUUAUGGGUUCAAGGAAUUAAUGGGAGAAAGAGAUCAUGGAAUCCAAGGGCGGGUGGGGUUUAGAAUUUGUAAGAAGCUCGAUUUACUAUUAUAUCUUGAAAUGUUGAUAGCUUAAAACAUGAGAGGAAUGAUAAAGAAUGACUACAGAGCAUAUGGGAAAAGUGGUAGAAUGGAAGACCUGAAUCAGGGAUAACAUUGCGGACACUGAUGCAAAGAGGAGGCAAUUUCCUUUGUUUAGGGAAGGUGAAACCUAAUGAUGGAACAAACUACUUUAGAAAGCAAAAACUGUUGAUUCGUCGGAACAGUUCUUCGACAAAUCCUUAUUUAGGAUUGCAUCUGUGUUGAUAAGCACCCGUGAUGAAACCAGUUGAUCACACAUGGACCCUGUGGAGGACAAGGAGUGGGACAGGUGGGUUCUUUAGGGUUUCAAAAGAGAGAAAAGCUAGAAUCUCCAGAGGAAGACAGUUAGCAUCUUCCUGCGAGGUUCCUGCUGAAUUGGGAUACUACUACUACAUGGUUCAUCCAGAGCUUCCAUAGAAGAUCUUAUCACUGGAUCCCCCAGAGUUAGGCUCAAUCAAGUUAAAAACGAUGGGUGUUCUUUCAGAAACCCUGGUAGCGGGUUCCCAUUGAAUUGGGAUAUUAUUACUACAUGGUUCAUCCGGAGCCGCCAUAGAAGAUCAUAUCACUGGAUCCCCAGAGUUAGGCUCAAUCAAGUUAAAAACGAUGGGUGUUCUUUCGGAAACCUGGUAGACAGGGGUGUCUUUUGGGAUAGCCAAGGAUCUGUUUUGUCAUCCUUCUAGGGGACACAUUGGAAUCAUAACCCCAACAAUGACCGAAGUCACUCUUUACCUCAGACCCCACAAUUUUGUUGGGCAUAUAUGUAAAGCUCUUCUUAAAAAAAGAAAAGAGAAGAGAUAGUAGAGAUUGUGAUGCUUGAACAUAUCAAGUUUUAGCUUAAUCUCAUGGUUCUAGAUAGAGAGGAGUUUAAAUAUGUGUGCAUGCUAGUCAUACAAACUGAGAGAGCCAAGGAGAAAGAGAGGUAAAAUUUAAAAGUAUGAUUCAUA